UGACAUUAAUCAUCAUAAAAUCGACACAGUGUUUUCUACUUUGUUUACAUCACGACGGGUAGAUUUCCAGCCCCUGCGAUAGGAAAAAAAAACAAUUUCUAAGCGUUUCUCUAGCAGUUUUCUAUUUAAUAAUCGUUUUCUAUUGAUGAUCGCCGAUUCUGAGGAAAAGAAAAACGGCUUGAAGUCCCUACAACGGUUCCGUAAAUCAUGGAUGAGGACGUCAAACUCUAGCUUCAGGACGCUGUGUCGUUUUUCCAGCUUCCGCCACCGGCAGCAAACGGAAGUCGCUAGUUGUUUCAGUACUACUGGUAGGACUAACAAGUAAGAAGUGUUUUCAGCUCCUGAUUUAUAAUGCACCGAAUUUAGUGACAAACUGUUGAUAAAAUUGGGUGUCCCAAAGCACGGUUGAGCCGAACAUGGACUGUGGCUCGUUGAUAAAAGGUCAAUUUGAUGUCAAUCCUUAACUAGCUCCAUACGGUUGUGAAGAAAGAAAGUUCAACUGACAAACUCUUUGAGGUCUUUUCGGGAAAUUGAUGUAGAUCAACCGCGGCCGGAAACAGCGUGCUGCCCUGAGCCGUUUCUGAUUGCGGGAGCUCCGGGUCUUUCGUGGUCUCUAUUGCAAGUUUCUGCUCGAACCAAGGAGUCCGAAGGCUUGAAUGGGGAGAGCACCCAAACCUCUUUGUGGUGAUCGAAUAGAAGUACAAUAUUCUGAUCGGGUAAUCUCUGCAGCAUCCUGGUCGGGUAGUCACGGGGAUGUCAGUGACGGGUAGUUGGGAGAACGAGAGAGGACUGUCAAUCGUGGCAGAAGAGUAGAGUGAGUAGGUAGCAACAGAGUGGAGAAACCGGAACGGACAUCCCGGGAGAUUCGGUGUGGCUUGGCCCAACAAGGGUGCCACAAGUGGCGACGAGGAUGGGAUCCUCCAAUGGUUCCGAAUCAAUCAGGUCCGUUCCGGUUAUCCUCAAAUCAGUGACAAAAGUGUUUUGAAAAAAA